GGGAAGACCCUGGAGAAAGGAAAAGAAGGUGAGGAUAGAAGGGGAAGGUAGGGGCUGAAGAUAAAAACUGUGGCAAAGCACACAUCUCAGCCCCGUGCUGUCAGAGUCUGCCCGCAGCUCGUCUUGAAAAAAGCACACGCUUCCAGACACAGACUUCCAGUCCCCAUGGGAGGGAAUCACAGUCAACCAAGGCCACAGACUUCAGGUGAGAGACCUGAUGUCUAAGAAGUUACAAGAGGCGGCCCCAGGCAACCUCACACGACCUAACUGGAUUCUCUCAAGCCAUCCUUUCAAAAGGAAUGAAAAUUGAAGUCUCUCUUCUAUGCCUGAAGACUCUAGGAUGCCUGCAGAGUCAGGAACUCUGGAAUCUUAGCCAUGUAAGAUGUGCCUGCUUCCUCUUGGCCUUCUGCCAUGAUCAUAAGUUUCCUGAGGCCUCCCCAGAAGCUGAGCAGAAGUUAGCAUCAUGCUUCCUGUACAGCCUGUAGAACGGUGAGCCAAUUAAACCUCUUUACUCUCUAAAUUACUCAGUCUCAGAUAUUCAGAUUUAUAGCAAUGUGAGAAUAAACUAAUAGAAUUUGCUUCAAUGCCAAUGUCAG